rnacentral:ncRNA from 1 species
UUUGAAAGCUGUAACGGAGUGCUUUGCGCACGGGCUGGAUAG